rnacentral:rRNA from 1 species
GGGGGGGGGGGGGGGGGGGCGGGGGGGGGGCGGGGCGGGCGGGGGGGCGCGGGGGGGGUGGGGGGCGCGGGUGGCGGGGGGGUGAGUAACACGUGAGUGACCUGCCCGUGCCUGUGGGGUAACUUCAGGGAACUGGGGCUAAUACCGGGGAGUAGCUCCUGCGGCAUGGUGGGGGUUGGAAAGUUUCGGCGGUUGGGGAUGGACUCGCGGCUGCUCAGCUUGUGGGUGGGGUCGUGGCUUACCAAGGCUUUGACGGGUAGCCGGCCUGAGAGGGUGACCGGCCACAUUGGGACUGAGAUACGGCCCAGACUCCUACGGGAGGCAGCAGUGGGGAAUAUUGCACAAGGGGCGGAAGCCUGAUGCAGCAACGCCGCGUGCGGGAUGACGGCCUUCGGGUUGUAAACCGCUUUCGCCUGUGACGAAGCGUGAGUGACGGUAAUGGGUAAAGAAGCACCGGCUAACUACGUG